CUGAACUUUUUCUUUUCCCUAUGGCACUCGGCCUCCAUGCUCUGCAAAUCAAGUAGUUUCCCAUGCCCCAUCUGGGUAGGGAGGACUUCCUUCACUUCCCUGUCCAAUUAAGUGGAUUGCCCUCCUCCCUUGCUAGUGGGGCUUUUGUGCAUAAAUAACUUGCUUUUGGUUUUGCAGUAGAUCUAGCUCUUUUGGUGAGGUUUCAUUUGUGAUCUACCUAGAGUGUGCUUGGUUAGUGUUGUGUUGGGUUUUGCAUGCAGGGAUGGGGAUCAUUCAACGAGAGUUUCUUCGCUGUCUUGUAACCAUGUCUUCGG
rnacentral:misc_RNA from 1 species